GUCACUACAGACUGAACGGCACAUUACGUCGCUGUUUGGAAAAUACAACGCGAAUGUUAGCGUGGGCUUUCGCUGAAGAAACGAACUCUUUGCAGACAAAUGGGUCCAUUUUAUUGCUCCAUCUGCGGAAAAACGGACUUUUCUGGAAAAGGACACAUUUUUGGGAAAAGCCACCAGAGCAAACUUAAAAUAAUUCUUGUCAAAUUCACGGAGAAGGUCAAAGAAGCAAGGCGGACUUUUAAAAGUCCUCAGGUGGAGAAAUACGGUCCUCAUCAUGACGUGAAGUUCUGGUGUUACUGCUGCGCGCUGGAGGUUCAGAAACACGUGACUGACAGUAACAUCACUGUGCUUUAUGGAGGACUGCUAGAACACAUGAGCACCCCAGAGCACCGCAAAAACACACACAAGUUCUGGUGGGACAAUAAAGCAGAUCCCAAACUACGAGACAAGUUUAUCAUAACACAAGAGGACACUGAGAGGUUCAAGUCUGAGGUUUCCAAAGCUCUUAAACAGUUUGAGGAAAAAGAGGAUGUUUUUAUUAAACAGCAGGCUGUGGUGAUUCGCUCUCAGGAGCAGCACAGGCUGGAGCUCCUCCAAUCACUAUCAGAGGUUUGUUUUCCUGCGAUGCUCCAAGCCCUGAUCCAGAACUGGAGCAACCUGCUGAACUGGAGCACUACAGCAAUGCACACACAUCCAGAAGUUCCCACAGAGGCUCUUAUGAACCAGAGGCACAGGCGGGACCGAGCCAUGAGGAUCUGCACAGUCAGUGGAGGAAACCAGGACUCAGCUUAACUUUCGUUGGCUACCAGGACUCUUCCAGCAGUGGAAAUGUUCAUACAGGAGCAGUACCGCCGUGGCUGCUGGAUGACCCUGGUGAUGAAGCUUCAGAAGGACAGCAGGAGAUGAAGCCCUCAGUGCAGGAGUUUCUCAAACACAAGGAGCAGGAGAAACUAAAGAAGCUUCCGCCUAAUCGUGUGGGUGCAAACUUCGACCACAGCUCGCAUACUGAUGCCAACUGGCUGCCAUCUUUUGGACGAGUGUGGAACAGCGGCAGGCGCUGGCAGUCUCGGCAUCAGUUCAGAGAAGAAGAGGCAAACACUAAAGGAAAGAGGAAGAGGAGAGAUGAUGGGAAAUUCACAAAGAAGCCAAAAGACCUCACUAACGGAGAGAAAUGAAGUCUACAUCCCCAGUAGGGGGGACUUAAACAGCAUGCACUGUCUUUCUCAUAUUGAGACUUUUCAACUCGCCUCAAUUAAAAACCAGGACUAUUUAAGGUAGGUUAGUGUUCUUGUGAGGUGAAAAAAAAAUGAAACGCACUGUUUGUGUUUCCAGUUUAUUGAAUACAUUUUUGCUACAGAUGUUUGUGUAAUUUCCUUUUUGGUCAAAAAUCCAAAACAUCCUUCCCACUCUCCGCAAAAGGUAAAUGUGAUAAAAUGUAGACACAAUGUGCAAUAUCUUCUUUCCAUUUUGAACAAUCCAUCAGUUCAGUCAAAUUGAAUAGAAUCUUGUCUAUUAGAGCUAUUUCAUGUUCUCAACAGAAAGCCGAGACCAUAUUAAUGUUCAAUAAUAUAAUAAAAUACCUCAAACGUCUAGACAGAAUAAAAAUACAGAUUACAUUAA